AUGAGAGAUAAUUGGGAGUACCUCACCGGAGCAUCGGAGAGUGACGGUGGCUUGCUUCCUUUGGCCCUAGGUGGUCGACAUCCUGUUGAGGACGAGGGGCUCCAGCAGGGCUCAACGCAGAGGAGGGGACAACAUCCAGCAGCCCACCAUGGAUGCAAGUGGCGGCGGCACGGGAUGCUGGUGGGAGGACGGCCCUGGUUGCUGUUGGGGCCCGGCGAUGCGCGGGGCGGGGCGGCGCAGACGGCGAGGUGGAGACGGGAUCUGGCCGGCUUCGGCCAGAUCCAUACGUGGCUGCGCUCGGCGGCGACCUGCAUCGGGCGGCGGCGCUCAGGGUUGGUGGAGGGGCGCGUGCAGGGGGUUGGCUUCAGGGAUGCCGGAGCCUCUCGUCGGCGCGGGUCCCUGGUGGGGGACGACGGCGGCAGCGCGGGUUCCUGGUGGGGAACGAUGGCGGCAGCGCGGGCUCCUGGUGGGGAACGACGGCGGCGGCGCGGGUUCCUGGUGCGAGAGGGCGUUGAAAGCGAUGGGGGAAAGUUCAUCGAGUUGGGGUGGGCCGUUCGGAGGAGUGCAACGGGCCGGUCAGAUUUACUCUUUUUGCGUGUUUGGAAGUUCCGGAACAGCCGAUCGCCCCUAUAUAGCGCAUUAUGA
rnacentral:rRNA from 1 species